CUAGGCUACUAUACUAUCGGUAGCACGGGGAGCUCCGUGCUUCCAAGUUGUUUUCGAUGAUGCGGCUUCCAAAUCGAUGAUCGGCUCCGUUAGACUUGAUCUACACUAUUAAAAGUAUUUGGAAAUUAAAUUUAAUAAUUUUUCGAUAUCAUUUACCUAUCAAACAAGUAGUCUAAAAUUAAACAGCUGAAAAUAAAAAUCUCAUAAAAAAUGAUGAUAAAAGAUUUAAAUUCAAGAUCAGAUAUACUGAUCUUACUCUAAAUAGUGAAAAAAAUUUUCUAUAAAAUUUUCAUCGGAUUUGGAUUGUUUUACACCAUUAAACUCUCAAACACAUCACAUCGGCCAUUAAAAUUGUCAAUUUUGAGAUCUUUUGAUCACUAGUCAAAUAAUGUCGAAAAAAUCUGAAAUUUAGUUUUCAAAUACUUUCAAUAGUGUAGAUCAAGUCUAACGGAGCCGAUCGUCGAUUUGGAAGCCGAAUCAUCAAAAACAACUUGGAAGCACGGAGCUCCCCGUGCUACCGAUAGUAUAGUAGCCAGACUCAAUAUACUAACUAAACUUAUAAAGAUAAACGAUACAUUUAAAUUUUAAAAGCUAAAAUACUGUUGACUUAUUCAAAUAAAACAAAUUAAAUAGUUAGAUAGUAAAAAUAAAAUUUUAAAAUGGCUAAAUUAUAGAAAAUCUCUUUAUAAAUAUUCACAUUUUUUACUUUUGCUCCCUAACUUAUAAAAAUCUAUAUUUUUCUCCAUCAACAUUUCGGGUUGUUGGAUUUAACUCCCCUCCAUCAAGGUUCCAUCAUUAUUCUGUAUAUUUUUUAUAAUUUAUACUGAAAAAUAUCAUUCAAAACAAUAUACAUAUAUUAAAAAUUUAUUUUUUUCUCAUAAAAGAAGUAUAGAUAAUUUUUUCAUUUUUCACUCUCUAUUAAUGUCGUAUUACCUUGAAAACGUUUCAAAAAUUUUAAAAGGAUAAGAAUAUAAAGGGUUAAUUUCAUACAGAUUUCUAUAAAUAUAGUGAAGAGCAAAUAUAUUUCUACAAAGUUCAACUUUCACAUAUUGUCUCUACAAAAUUUUUAAUAUUUUUAAAUACGUCCAUCUACUUUGUUAUCGUUAGAGAACUAUUUAUAUUUUCAAAUUUGCCAUAACAAAUAUAUAUCCCCAAAAGCCAAAACAGUAUAAUAUAAGAGGGAUAAAAGUGUCAAAAAUUAAUCAGUAUAAAUUAUUUAAUUUAUGAUUAACUAAAAUUUUCUAACGGAUUCUAACGGCAAAAAUAUAUUUAAAAAUAUCAGGACUUUUGUAGAAAUAAUAUAUAAAAGUUGAACUUUAUAGAUACAUAUUUGCCAUUUAUUAUAUUUGUAGGAACGUGUGUGAAUUUAAUCCAAAUAUAAAUUUUCAAAAAUCAGAAAAAAAAAAGUGAAUGUUU
rnacentral:lncRNA from 1 species